rnacentral:rRNA from 1 species
UACGAGGGGGGCGAGCGUUGUUCGGAAUUAUUGGGCGUAAAGAGCUCGUAGGCGGCUUGUCGCGUCGGCUGUGAAAUCCCGAGGCUCAACCCUCGGGCCUGCAGUCGAUACGGGCAAACUAGAGUGUGGUAGGGGAGACUGGAAUUCCUGGUGUAGCGGUGAAAUGCGCAGAUAUCAGGAGGAACACCGGCGGCGAAGGCGGGUCUCUGGGCCAUAACUGACGCUGAGGAGCGAAAGCGUGGGGGAGCGAACAGG